rnacentral:rRNA from 1 species
UACGUAGGGGGCAAGCGUUGUCCGGAAUCACUGGGCGUAAAGGGCGCGUAGGCGGCCUGAUAAGUAGGGGGUGAAAUCCUGCGGCUUAACCGCAGGGCUGCCUUCUAAACUGUCAGGCUUGAGCACAGUAGAGGCAGGUGGAAUUCCCGGUGUAGCGGUGGAAUGCGUAGAUAUCAGGAGGAACACCAACAGCGAAGGCAGCUCGCUGGGACGGUAUUGACGCUGAGGCGCGAAAGCGUGGGGAGCAAACAGG